AGCUACAUCAACUUGUGACCUUAUAUGACUACUUUGUUGCAGUCUGCGAAUUCAUGUUCGUAGCGUUCAUAUUUUUCUACACCGUAAAAAAGAGAGUGGAUGUUGUGGUCUUCAAACGCAAAUACGUGGAUUCUGUAUGGAAUGGUUUUGGUCUGGCUAUUCUUAUGCUUGGCUAUGGUAUUAUAUGCUUCAGAAUCUAUAGCUAUGUGGUUAUUGAACCACAAAUAAUGCAACAUAUUUUUGGGAAGAAGUUUUCAAACUUUGACUCAUUUGCUUUGUAUCAAGAAAUUUACAACUUUGGAGCUGUUAUUCUGUUCACUUUCACAUGGCCCAUAAUUUUCAAAUAUGGCGGUUUAAGCGACUUCAUGUUCAAAUUCGUCGGGUUGCUUGUCAAGCAAUGCAUAGAGAUUUUUAAAAUUCUAUUUAUCUUCUUCAUUAUUAUUGCCACAUACAAUCGGACGAUAUCCCUACUGUAAUGAACACAGGAUGAGUGGUGAAGAAGGAAGACAAAAAUCAAUUUGUUUUUACAUCCUGAGAAUGAAUUUUUUUUCAGUAUCUCAAAAUUUUUCCUAAGUUAAGUAAAAAAUUAGAAUUUACGAGAUAUUUUUUAUUCUAAUCUGCAGUAUUUAGUGUAUAAGUGUGUUUUAUUUUUUCAUGAAUAUGUGUGUAAAAUUCUUUUUUUGGUGAAUUUUUAUAUUUUAAGCUUUAAAUACGAGAAAAUUUGCCUGGGUGAGUAGACCAAAACGGUGGAAAUAGGCCUUGGAACUGAAAGGGUAAAAACAGCAAGAAAAGUUUAUAUUUUGAAUAUAUAAAAUCAUGCAUACAAACAAAAUUGUUUACACAUUAAAUAACACUUUGUGCCAAACGCGUUUUGACCUAAAGAGGUCACCAUCAGUGGCAAAACUUUAAUUCAUUAGUCUGUCUAUUAAAAUCAUACAAUUCAUGAAACCAUGGUUUAUUAUAAAGCACUGAGCACUUUAUAAAACCAUACUUCAUGUAAUGCCACACUGAAACUUUAAUUGCACAUGAGUUGGUGUAUUAUCUAAAUUCAUUUCAGCUUAAUGUCCACUGGCCCAAGUUUUACUUGAGGUUUCCGCAAGGCCCUUCACACUGCUCCAUGCUGAAGACUGGAAGACCUCCUUUAAUUUCUGUAACAUCCCCUCAACAGGAGUAAUUUAUAAUUUUAUGUGUUUGUUAUAUGUUCAGUAAAGACUUUAUGUUCUUAAAUUAACAAUGUUUUUGCACUUUUAUAAAUUUAUAUAAAAGUUUGAUGUUUCAGAGGUUUUAAAAGUGAGUUAAAGAUGACAGCCUUACUUCCUCA